GGCAGCGUGGCGUAGUGGUUUGAGUGUUGGACUACGACUCUGGAGACCAGGGUUUGAAUCCCCUACUCAGCCA